rnacentral:rRNA from 1 species
GAAUGCUGACAUAAGUAACGAUAAAGCGGGUGAAAAGCCCGCUCGCCGGAAGACCAAGGGUUCCUGUCCAACGUUAAUCGGGGCAGGGUGAGUCGACCCCUAAGGCGAGGCCGAAAGGCGUAGUCGAUGGGAAACAGGUUAAUAUUCCUGUACUUGGUGUUACUGCGAAGGGGGGACGGAGAAGGCUAUGUUGGCCGGGCGACGGUUGUCCCGGUUUAAGCGUGUAGGCUGGUUUUCCAGGCAAAUCCGGAAAAUCAAGGCUGAGGCGUGAUGACGAGGCACUACGGUGCUGAAGCGACAAAUGCCCUGCUUCCAGGAAAAGCCUCUAAGCAUCAGGUAACAUCAAAUCGUACCCCAAACCGACACAGGUGGUCAGGUAGAGAAUACCAAGGCGCUUGAGAGAACUCGGGUGAAGGAACUAGGCAAAAUGGUGCCGUAACUUCGGGAGAAGGCACGCUGAUAUGUAGGUGAAGCGACUUGCUCGUGGAGCUGAAAUCAGUCGAAGAUACCAGCUGGC